GAAGGGUUAACUUGGGAUCAUUUGUGGUCCUAAGCAUCGUAUGACAUCUCAAGAUAGAUUUUUGGGAUGUUACAAACUUGGUAUCAGAGAACAAGGUUCAAGUGUCCUAGGCUGUCUGUAAAUCCAUGUCUAGUAGAGUCUUGUGAAAUGGUACAGAGACGUCUGUAAUUUUCUUUGAGAGUCUACAAGGCAUUUAAGAAAAG
rnacentral:lncRNA from 1 species